ACCGAAGCCUGUAACCGCCUCCGGGCGUGAUGGGCGGCUGGUAUCCUCCUUCUGAGGGGUGCAUGGCGCAGCUUGGGCCGGCCCUUAUGGGUCGCGAAUCCCCAGUGUUGCGGCGGACCAUCCCUUGGGCAACUCAGUGGGGGCAAUUGGAUAGCUCGUGGGGCACCUUUGGCGGCUUCGGCCCUGAAGGUGGCUCGAGCUGGGUGCUGGGCUUCGGUCCGCGCCCCAACUUAUAACUAGCUCUGAUACCUCUUCUUCAUUGAAGGUUGCCGGGGUAGCCUUUCGCAUUUCGGGGUGGAAGUUGGCCCGGGAAAGAUAGUUACCUGGUUGAUUCUGCCAGUAGUCAUAUGCUUGUCUCAA
rnacentral:misc_RNA from 1 species